rnacentral:rRNA from 1 species
AGAGUUUGAUCCUGGCUCAGGACGAACGCUGGCGGCGUGCCUAAUACAUGCAAGUAGAACGCUGAAGGAAGGAGCUUGCUCUUUCCGGAUGAGUUGCGAACGGGUGAGUAACGCGUAGGUAACCUGCCUGGUAGCGGGGGAUAACUAUUGGAAACGAUAGCUAAUACCGCAUAACAGUAGAUGUCGCAUGACAUUUGCUUGAAAGGGGCAAUUGCUCCACUACCAGAUGGACCUGCGUUGUAUUAGCUAGUUGGUGAGGUAACGGCUCACCAAGGCGACGAUACAUAGCCGACCUGAGAGGGUGAUCGGCCACACUGGGACUGAGACACGGCCCAGACUCCUACGGGAGGCAGCAGUAGGGAAUCUUCGGCAAUGGGGGCAACCCUGACCGAGCAACGCCGCGUGAGUGAAGAAGGUUUUCGGAUCGUAAAGCUCUGUUGUAAGAGAAGAACGAGUGUGAGAGUGGAAAGUUCACACUGUGACGGUAACUUACCAGAAAGGGACGGCUAACUACGUGCCAGCAGCCGCGGUAAUACGUAGGUCCCGAGCGUUAUCCGGAUUUAUUGGGCGUAAAGCGAGCGCAGGCGGUUAGAUAAGUCUGAAGUUAAAGGCUGUGGCUUAACCAUAGUACGCUUUGGAAACUGUUUAACUUGAGUGCAGAAGGGGAGAGUGGAAUUCCAUGUGUAGCGGUGAAAUGCGUAGAUAUAUGGAGGAACACCGGUGGCGAAAGCGGCUCUCUGGUCUGUAACUGACGCUGAGGCUCGAAAGCGUGGGGAGCGAACAGGAUUAGAUACCCUGGUAGUCCACGCCGUAAACGAUGAGUGCUAGGUGUUGGGUCCUUUCCGGGACUCAGUGCCGCAGCUAACGCAUUAAGCACUCCGCCUGGGGAGUACGACCGCAAGGUUGAAACUCAAAGGAAUUGACGGGGGCCCGCACAAGCGGUGGAGCAUGUGGUUUAAUUCGAAGCAACGCGAAGAACCUUACCAAGUCUUGAGAUCCCAUUGACAGAGUAUGUAAUGUACUUUCCCUUCGGGGCAAUGGAGACAGGUGGUGCAUGGUUGUCGUCAGCUCGUGUCGUGAGAUGUUGGGUUAAGUCCCGCAACGAGCGCAACCC